rnacentral:rRNA from 1 species
GACGAACGCUGGCGGCGUGCCUAAUACAUGCAAGUAGGACGCAGUUGCGAACGGGUGAGUAACGCGUAGGUAACUACCUAUUAGAGGGGGAUAAAUAUUGGAAACGAUAGCUAAUACCGCAUACUAGUAGCUGGACCUGCGUUGUCUUAGCUAGUAGGUAGGGUAAUGGACUACCUAGGCACCGAUACAUGGCCGACUCGAGGAGUGGAUCGGCCACACUGGGACUGGGACACGGCCCAGACUCCUACGGGAGGCAGCCGUAGGGAAUCGUCGGCAAUGGGGGGAACCCUGACCGAGCAACGCCGCGUGAGGGAAAAAGGGUUUCGGAUCUUAAAGCUCUGUUGUUAAGGAAGCGGUACUUAACCAGAAAGGAACGGCUAACUACGUGCCAGCAGCCGCGGUAAUUC